GCGGGGAUGGUGGAAUUUGGUAGACACGCAAGCUUGAGGUGCUUGUGGCUUCACGGCUGUGCCAGUUCAAGUCUGGUUCUCCGCA
rnacentral:tRNA from 1 species